CGAGCCACACGAACGUUAUUCGGAAUUACUGGGCUUAAAGGGUGCGUAGGCUGCGCGGAAAGUUGGGUGUGAAAUCCCUCGGCUCAACCGAGGAACUGCGCCCAAAACUACCGUGCUCGAGGAAGAUAGAGGUAAGCGGAACUUACGGUGGAGCGGUGAAAUGCGUUGAUAUCGUAAGGAACACCUGUGGCGAAAGCGGCUUACUGGGUCUUUCCUGACGCUGAUGCACGAAAGCUAGGGGAGCAAAACGGGAUUAGAUACCCCGGUAGUCCUAGCCGUAAACUCUGAGCACUGAAUUGAAGGGCCCCCCAUAGCCCUUCAGUUGUAGCGAAAGUGUUAAGUGCUCCGCCUGGGGAGUAUGGUCGCAAGGCUG
rnacentral:rRNA from 1 species